rnacentral:rRNA from 1 species
UACGGGGGGGGCAAGCGUUGUUCGGAAUUACUGGGCGUAAAGGGCUCGUAGGCGGCCAACUAAGUCAGACGUGAAAUCCCUCGGCUUAACCGGGGAACUGCGUCUGAUACUGGAUGGCUUGAGUUUGGGAGAGGGAUGCGGAAUUCCAGGUGUAGCGGUGAAAUGCGUAGAUAUCUGGAGGAACACCGGUGGCGAAGGCGGCAUCCUGGACCGACAUUGACGCUGAGGAGCGAAAGCUAGGGGAGCAAACGGG